CGCCUUUUGUAAUACCAACAUAAAAGGUCCUGCCUGCCCAAUGACUUAUUUUAAUGGCCGCGGUAUUAUGACCGUGCAAAGGUAGCGUAAUCAUUUGUCUUUUAAAUAAAGACCAGUAUGAAUGGCAAAACGAGAGCCUUACUGUCUCCCUAGUCCAAUCAAUGAAAUUGAUCUCCCCGUGCAGAAGCGGGGAUAAAAGUAUAAGACGAGAAGACCCUGUGGAGCUUUAAACUUUAACUAAUAAACUACAAAAUAUACUUAGUAUUUAGCUUUAGGUUGGGGCGACCAUGAGGUACAACACAACCCUCACGACAUAUAACCGAGAAGGACACUUCAAACAACUAAUAUAGCAAAUUGACCCAAUAAUUGAUCAACGAACCAAGUUACCCCAGGGAUAACAGCGCAAUCUACUCAAAGAGUUCAUAUCGACGAGCAGGUUUACGACCUCGAUGUUGGAUCAGGACCCCCAAAUAGCGCAACAGCUAUUAAAUGUUCGUUUGUUCAACGAUUAAAGUCCU
rnacentral:rRNA from 1 species